rnacentral:lncRNA from 1 species
CGGACCCUUAGGGAGAGUGGGACAAAGACACCGGCUGGACAGAGGUGGGAUUCCAUCCCAGCUAACGCCUCUCUGUCUCUCUCUCUCUCUCUCUCUCUCUCUCUCUCUCUCUCUCUCUCUCUCUCUCUCUCUCUCUCUCUCUCUCUCUCUCUCUCUCUCUCUCUCUCUCUCUCUCUCUCUCUCUCUCCCCUGGUCUGAUUGUUUCUUUCUUGUGUUUAUUUUUUCUUCAUCUCCCUGUUUCUGUCUCUCCACGAAGCAUGCAUUUGCCCUGAACAAAACCAAAGGGAAAAGUUAGUUUUUGUUAUCAAUCGCAUAGCGAGGCUACUGUGUGUUUGUGUGUGUGUGUCUACGCAGAGACGUGUGUGUGUGUGUGUGUGUGUGUGUGUGAGUGAGGUGAGGCACCGGUCUGUUGCGAACGGGGAGCAAGCUGUGCCAAAACGGUGAAGCACAAGUAGCAACUCUGGUGUUCCUUCCAUGUGGUGGUCAGAGGAGGUUAAAACGCACCACCCAUCAACUAUUCCUAAUCUCUCUUCCAAAAACGGCAGAGGCAGAAGAUGUUACAUGAAAUAAUGACCUCCACUGCUGGUAAAGAAAUGGUCAACGGAAAGUUCAACGGAGAGUCCGAAUGAGUGUGUUAGAACAGUGAACAGGUAGGCUAUGACGCCUGCGAGGAAACAACGGUUCGGAUGCGACGUGGCGGCGGACGCAAGAUGGAGAUCAGCGGGUGAACCCUCCCUCUCUAAGCAGCACUGGCUGUCUCUCCCCCUCCCUCUCCCCCACCCUGACCCCCACCCUCAGCACUGGCCGUCUCUUCCCCUCCCCCACCCUGACCCCCACCUUCUAGCCA